CCUGGGGGCGGCCUGUGAUAACUAGCGUAUCUGGCAGGAGUAGCAGCUGCCCCUUGGCGCGGCUGCUGGAGCCGCGAACUAGAGAAACACAGACACGCCUCUUAGAGCAACGGCGUCUUUCGGAGAGCAGAGCCAGCCAAGGUUUCUGAUAACUUUGGAGAUUGUGACAUCAGAAUAGAUGAAAAACUUCCAGGACUCAUGGAGAGAUGAAAUAUUCAUGAAUAUCAAGCAGAACAAGAAUUAACUGCAUGGACUAAACUAAUAGAAGUCUGAAGGAAUCUGUCUAACUUUUUGCUUAAAAUGGUGCUGAUCCUUUUGUUUUUCAAAGCCAAGAAAACGUUUAAGCUAUUUACAGCUUUUAACAAUUGAGACACAAUUGGAGAAACUAGUUAUUUUACCAAGGCUCUUUACUGGGAUGGUGUGCUUUGCUUUAAGGAAUCAAACUUGACUUAUGGAAUCAAUACAAGCCCCUUGGGAAAU